CAUUUUGCAAAAAGAUAGAAACUUUGGUCUUAUGCCAUUGCAUUUUUAAACUUAUUUUCUUAAAUCGAACUUGUAAAUAAACUUAACUAUACUUGACUUAAACUUUCAAAAAUCCAAAAAAAGAACUAACUCAUUCAAACCAUUUUUUAGGCCUUUAUGCCUCUCAAACUUAACUUUUGUUAAAAGCAAUGCAUCCACUUUGUAAUUUAUAUCACGAACUACGAGGUUUUGAUCCCUCAUUUUUAUGUUGGUACGUAGGCACAAGACCGAAGGUUUUGUAAAACAC
rnacentral:lncRNA from 1 species